CAGAAGCACACACAGACUUGCCUGCCAUCAUAUUUGCUCGGGUAAUGAGCGCGGAGAGUGACACCGCCGCUGCUUUCUUCUCUUUCUUUUCGGUCUCUUGCUGAGCGCCCCUCUCCUGAGCUGGCCUGCGUUGUGGCUUCUUCAGUGUGCCUUCUCUGCUCGCCCACUUUUCCCUUCACCUUUCCUUCGCUCUUGAGGGUCGCCGAGCAUGGCUUCCUUAUCUGCGGCACGCGUAGCACGCUUCACCUCGCGUUGGCUGACGGAGGAGCUCAACAGCUUUGCACGGUCAGGUAACUGGGAAGGCGCCCUGCAGAUGUUUGAGCACAUGCAGCAGUCCAGCCUGGUGCGUCGGAAUGUGUUCCACUACACAACGGUACUGACGGCGUGCACUCGUGCUGGGCAGAUGGACGCCGCCAUGAUGGUCUUUCGCCAGAUGAAGGCAAAUCAAGUGAAGCCGAAUGUGUACACGUACACCACCCUGAUCAACGGCUGCGCAAAUGCCAAGAAGCUCGACUUGGCGCUGCGUAUUUUCGCUGAGAUGCGACUGGCUGAGGUCCCACCUAAUGUGAAGACGAUGACAGCGCUCAUCUCCGUCUGCUCACGAUGCGGGCAGUGGAAGAAGGGUUUACAGGUGCUGGAUCAGUGCGAGGAGUUCUUUAUUGCACCGAAUGCACUCACCUACACGGCAGCCAUGGACGGCUGCCGUCGGGCCGGGGUGUGCACACCGGCGAUAGCGUUGCUGGAAGCAAGAAUGACGGAUCCCAGCCAGGUACGGCCAAAUGAAGUGACUUACAACACCGUUCUUGGCGCCUGUGCGGCUGCCAAGGAUCACAAGGCUGCAUUGCGGGUAUACGCGCGUAUGACGGCAGACGGCUAUGAGCCGAUAGAGUACACACGCGAGUUGCUCAGGGAGGUCUUUCGCGGAACAUCCCUCGACGGCCUUGCUGACAACUUGACGGUGCGCGUAAAGACGUCCAAGUGGGAGGCGUACGUGCCGGACUCGGAUCCGGCCACAGCAUUGCGAGCCGCCCAGGAAGGCGGCUGAGGGAAACAAAUUAGGAUCGCAUCGGUGAAUGUUUCUCUCUCGUAUGUGUGCAUCCGCUUUCACAGAAUGUUUUCUCCUCUCCUCUCCCCCACUCUCCUCCUACGUGGUGCUCAUGAAGGUGUGCUGCGAGCGCAGAUUGCUGCUGUGGUGCGUGGGUGCGUGCUUUUGUGUUGCUGUGUUCGUGCGGUUGCUUGACGGUCUCUUUGCGUCUCGUUCUUGUGUGCGUGUGCGUGCAGAAGCCGGACUUGCUUGCUCUCU
rnacentral:misc_RNA from 1 species